rnacentral:rRNA from 1 species
UACGUAGGGGGCAAGCGUUGUUCGGAAUUACUGGGCGUAAAGGGCGCGUAGGCGGCUCAGCAAGUCGGGAGUGAAAGCCCGGGGCUCAACCCCGGAAUGUCUUUCGAAACUGCUGAGCUCGAGUGCGGAAGAGGCAACUGGAAUUCCCGGUGUAGCGGUGAAAUGCGUAGAUAUUGGGAAGAACACCUGAGGCGAAGGCGGGUUGCUGGGCCGACACUGACGCUGAGGCGCGAAAGCCAGGGGAGCGAACGGG